rnacentral:rRNA from 1 species
CGCCUUGCCAGCCCGCUCAGAAACUCAAAGGAAGUUGACGGGGGCCCGCACAAGCGGUGGAGUAUGUGGUUUAAUUCGAUGUAACGCGAAGAACCUUACCUGGUCUUGACAUCCCGGAGACCCUUAGGAAACUAGGGGGUGCUUCCAUCUGGAAGAAUCUGGAGACAGGUGCUGCAUGGCUGUCGUCAGCUCGUGUCGUGAGAUGUUGGGUUAAGUCCCGCAACGAGCGCAACCCUUGCCUUUAGUUGCCAGCAGUUCGGCUGGGCACUCUAAAGGGACUGCCGGUGUUAAACCGGAGGAAGGUGGGGAUGACGUCAAGUCCUCAUGGCCUUUAUGACCAGGGCUACACACGUACUACAAUGGCCGAUACAAAGGGCAGCGACACUGCGAGGUGAAGCCAAUCCCGUAAAAUCGGUCUCAGUCCGGACUGGAGUCUGCAACUCGACUCCAUGAAGUUGGAAUCGCUAGUAAUCGUGGAUCAGCAUGCCACGGUGAAUACGUUCCCGGGCCUU